CCUACGGGAGGCAGCAGUGAGGAAUAUUGGUCAAUGGACGGAAGUCUGAACCAGCCAUGCCGCGUGCAGGAAGACGGCUCUAUGAGUUGUAAACUGCUUUUGUACAAGGGUAAACCUGAAUACGUGUAUUCAGCUGAAAGUACUGUACGAAUAAGGAUCGGCUAACUCCGUGCCAGCAGCCGCGGUAAUACGGAGGAUCCAAGCGUUAUCCGGAUUUAUUGGGUUUAAAGGGUGCGUAGGCGGAUUGAUAAGUUAGAGGUGAAAUGUCCGAGCUUAACUCGGGAACUGCCUCUAAUACUGUUGAUCUAGAGAGUAGAUGCGGUAGGCGGAAUGUAUGGUGUAGCGGUGAAAUGCUUAGAGAUCAUACAGAACACCGAUUGCGAAGGCAGCUUACUGGACGGUGACUGACGCUGAGGCUCGAAAGCGUGGGGAGCAAACAGGAUUAGAUACCCCAGUAGUC
rnacentral:rRNA from 1 species